CACACACACACACACACACACACACACACACACACUGAGGUGGAAAAAGCUCUUGAGUGGGUCACGCCAGAGUGCCCCUGCUUUUUCCAGCAACAUGUGAACGGGUUUGUAGGGAGCUGGCAGGUGAGUGAUGAGGCCCAUGGUAUCAGCGACCCUCUAGCCCGGGCAGGCAGAUCAGAGACUCUACCGCUUCAGUGGAGGGCCACAGUGAGUGGCUGAUUAAAGGACUCCCAAGCAGAGAGAUUGGAGGUGUGUGAAUGAAGGUCAACAACACAGGACCACACGGAACAUGCCUGCAUACACACACCAGACCUGGGUCAAAUACACUGUACAUAACCUAGAUUAUGUCAAAUAUGUUCAAAUAUUUGAAAUGCACUUGAUAUGGUUUGCCUGGAACAACGGAACCAAUGGAGUAGUCCUAAAAAUGCAAAUUCCAAACUAAAUCCAUCUAAUACUAAAUAAUAUACUUUUAAACUAUUUCUCAAACAAUCACAUGUAUUUUAUUAAGCCCUUUUCAGCAGUUGUCACAAAGUGCUUUACGGAUACCCAGCAUAAAAACCCCAGAGAGAAAGCUAUGCAGAUAGUAGCCCCUGCUUCAUUAUCUUUUUCUUCUCCCUGUCCUCGUCCCCCCCUCCUCUCUCCCUUUCUCCUCUCACCUUUUUCUCUACCUCCUCCCCCCCUCUCUUAGUACGGCCCCUUCCACCUGACAGAGGAUGCUCCUUUGGGAGCCACGAUAACGGCGGUGUUGGCAUGUGAUGCUGAUGAGAGGGGAGGAGACAGCUGGCAGGUGAGUUACAGGCUGGAGUCUGGCAAUGAGGAGGUGUUCACACCGGUCACAGACAAGCAGACCAAUGAGGUUUCACUCAUCCUCUCCAAGGUGCUGGACUUCAAGAGGGAGAGCGAGUACAUCCUGCUCCUUAGUGCUGAAUAUCCGGUGGCCCUGGUCUGAGGGAGGUAUGGGUCAGCAUUCACGGCAACCGUCUCCAUCUAUGUGGACGAUGUCAACGAGGGCCCCAUCCUGUCCCAGAACCACUAUGAGGUCACCGUCAGAGAGGGGGAGGAGCCAGGACGGGUUAUUGUCACUAUUCUUGGAUAUGACCCAGACUCACACCCAAUCAGGGAACUCUUCUCUGUCCUCCUCCACCCUGGUGAUAGUCCAUGUCCUGGAUGUGAACGACAACAGUCCUGUUUUGGUGGGGGACUACUCCUGGAAAUACCUGUGUACCCCUCGCUGGGAGGACCAGGCCUUGGUGCUGGCAUCCCGGGGACGGCGAUGGUCCCCAGGCUCAACUUGGCAGGCUCAACUUGUCCCUCUGCAGUGACGCCACCGUGCGCGGCAACUGUAAACUCACCACCAUCAAUGGUCUGCCUCAUCAUCCAUCUUCUGUAAUUUUUCACUAAGACAUUUUUUAUUUUACCUCGAAGCGAGCAUAAAAGGCAUUUAGCUCGUCCGGUAAGCUCGGGUCACAGGCCAGCUCGUGUCUAUGUUUCCCUUUGUCGUUCGUAAUAGUUGCCACAUCCAACGAGCAUCAAAGCCGGUGUAGUGGGAUUCAAUCUUAAUCCUGUAUUGACGUAUUGCUUGUUUGAUGGUUCGUCUGAGGGCAUAGUGGGAUUUCUUAUAAGCGUCCGGAUUGGUGUCCCACUCCUUGAUAUCGGCAGCUCUAGACUUUAGCUCGAUGCGGAUGUUGUCUGUAAUCAAUGGCUUCUGGUCGGGAUAUGUACGUACGUUCACUGUGGGGACGUCU